AAAAUACGGGAGGCAGCAGUAGGGAAUAUUGGUCAAUGGGCGGAAGCCUGAACCAGCCAUGCCGCGUGAUGGAUGACGGCCUUAGGGUUGUAAACAUCUUUUCUACUAGAGGAAUAUAGUCCACGUGUGGACAGACGACUGUAUAGUAGGAAUAAGGAUCGGCUAACUCCGUGCCAGCAGCCGCGGUAAUUUUU
rnacentral:rRNA from 1 species